AUUAUUUAGAGGAACCAAAAGCGCAUCUGCUCUAGAUCAACGAGCUCCCAAUAAAAAAAUUCUCAGUGAAAUCCAUUAAACUUGAUUCCAAACACAAUUGAACGUACUGUUAAGGAUAUUUAAAAAUAUAUAUAUUAUUGUCGAAUAUAGUAAUGUCCAAUUUCGCUGGUCUGAAACCCUUUUUCUUAAUUCUAUCCUUUUUAGUUCGGGCUAAACAGCUAGUAGUUAAUAGGUUUGGGCUGUUUCAAAAGCUUCCGGGAAUUCAAUUGUCAACGAAGUUCAUACUUAGAACAACUUCAGGAGUUGAUCUAACAAAAUGCGUCAAAAGCUGUUAUUUCACUAAAAAAUGCGUAAGUAUUGCUUAUGGGAACCUUUUAUGCGUUUUGUACGCCACCGACCCGAGAGCACAAUUAGACGAAAGCUCGCUGAUAAGAAUAACGAAUGAUUCGCCUCUGAUUAUGUAUGCGAUAUCGACCGACUUUGAAGUACCCUGUUAUGGUGGCAACAUAGCCGCGUAUACCGACUCCGACUUGGAAAAAUGUGGGUUCGAUGAGAAAGUGAUUGAUUCAAACUGCACCGAUUGGUCAAGUUGGAACUCGACUUUUGAAUGGCCGUGCAGCGACAAGGCAAAAAUUUUACGGUUUAAAACCCACGCGAGAAACUGCACAAGGCCUUUAUUUGGCGGGCAAAAAGGAACGUGCCACGAGAAGUGGGAAAAAACUCCACGUCUACUAUCCGACUCCGCUCUGAGCUUCGGAACAGCACGAGCAAUUUGUUAUGGUCCAGGCGAAACUGUAUUCUCAGGUGUUCACUGGUUCUACGAGGGUCGUUUUGGAGCGGAGUUCGACGGGAUGUAUGUUUGGACUGGUUUUCAACGUGUUGGACAGUCAGAUGAGUAUCGGGAUGAAACAGAUGAACAGUUUGUGCAAACAGGUUGUGCGGCAGUUUGGGCUGGUACCGAACCAUCCGGAGCAUCGGACGAAACACAAAUUCUGUUCAGCUUUAAUAUGAGUACGAGCGAUGGCCUGUGCGAUAAGAGUGCGGGGCAAGAAGAAGCACGAGUUGCUUGUGAUCAAUGGAAACUUGAAGAAACCUUGACAUGUGGAAGUGAUUACUUCUCAUUGAUAUAAAAAGGAGAGAAAACUUUGAGAUGACUGAGAACAAUCUUUGGCAGAAAAUAUUUCGAGAUUUUUUAAAAUUGAUAUUUAUUAUCAGAAUUUCUAUAGUUUGAUGAUUUCUCCAUUUCGA